rnacentral:rRNA from 1 species
UUUUUCGGAAGGAAGCGGGAGUGACUUAGCGGCGGACGGGUGAGUAACGCGUGGGUAACCUGCCCCAUACCGGGGGAUAACGGUUAGAAAUGACCGCUAAUACCGCUUAAGCGCGCGAGGCCGCAUGGCCCCGGGCGAAAAACUCCGGUGGUAUGGGAUGGGCCCGCGUCUGAUUAGGUAGUUGGCGGGGUAAGGGCCCACCAAGCCGACGAUCAGUAGCCGACCUGAGAGGGUGGCCGGCCACAUUGGGACUGAGACACGGCCCAAACUCCUACGGGAGGCAGCAG